rnacentral:rRNA from 1 species
UACGAAGGGGGCUAGCGUUGCUCGGAAUCACUGGGCGUAAAGCGCACGUAGGCGGCUUACUAAGUCAGGGGUGAAAUCCUGGAGCUCAACUCCAGAACUGCCUUUGAUACUGGUGAGCUUGAGGACUGGAGAGGAGACUGGAAUUCAUGGUGUAGCAGUGAAAUGCGUAGAGAUCAUGAGGAAGACCAGUGGCGAAGGCGGGUCUCUGGACAGUUCCUGACACUGAGGCACGAAGGCCAGGGGAGCAAACGGG